CUGCCGAAGCGAGUAACCCUGAAAAUGGAUGGCUCUAUAGCUCUCUCCCGAUGCACGGCCGUCAGUAGCACUUGAGUCACCUCGUGUCUCUACGCUCUGACGAGUAGAAUGGUUGUGCUGCAUUGCGUUGACGGCUAUCGCGUGAGCGUGGUCUGAGCGUGCAGCAGUACAGAUCUUGGUGGUAGUAGCAAGUACUCUGGUGAAUAACCUUGAGCUGUGAGGUUGAUAAGGGUUCCAUGUCAACAGUGUUUGUACAUGGGUAAGUCGAUCCUAAGCCCCCAUUAUUCUUAAUGGUGAUUGCGAUCGCCCGAGAGUCAUGGUGUCUGUAGUAGAGUCAGAGUUGGAGCUAGCGCUCUGUCUUUGGAUCUGCGUUGUAUCGUCUGUCGCAUAACUUUUCUGCGUGAACAGUGGUACAGGUGUGUUGUGUGAACGGUAGCGUUUUUCUCUUUGAGAAUUGGGACGCUGUGACCUAGUAGUACGAUGCCCGUGUACCGCUUAAUACCAAUGAUGUACACGGGUUUUUGCGCGUGAUACGUAAAGUCACUACACUUUCGCGUCGCUCGGCGAAAGGGAAUUGCGGACUCAGUUCGUAAACCACACCUGGUACCCUGAGACGGUUCACCGUUUCACGGACCUGGCAAGAGCUUGCCAGGCCAGUCGCUGUCAUAAGUAGCUCGGCGGGGAGAUUUCUUCUCUCUUUGAUAUAGAUACGUGUCCUGAAAGCACCUCGAGUGGCGGAAGGUCAACGCUAUCUAGCAGAGUACUCUACUCCCUCGAGUAGAUAACGAUGCUGCUUGUGAUCCGUGAAAAGGUGGUCGAGGGGAAAGUAUGGGACAAUCAGCACCCACAAUGCUACAAAGCAAACGAGAACAAGACUGUGUUCGUGUAAGCCCGCGCUUACUCCCACGACUUGUGUUUUUGUGCGCCGCGUAUCUGUGUUGUGUUGUAUGUCCUGACACUUUACUCGAGUGUUAGCCAGGGCGUGGGCGUACCCAUAUCCGCAUCCGGUCUCAUAGGUUUGCAGCCUCUGUGGCGUAUGACACAUGUAGGUAAGGGAAGUCGGCAAAUUC
rnacentral:rRNA from 1 species